UGGCGAACGGGUGAGUAACGCGUGAGGAACCUGCCUCAAAGAGGGGGACAACAGUUGGAAACGACUGCUAAUACCGCAUAAGCCCACGGGUCGGCAUCGACCAGAGGGAAAAGGAGCAAUCCGCUUUGAGAUGGCCUCGCGUCCGAUUAGCUAGUUGGUGAGGUAACGGCCCACCAAGGCGACGAUCGGUAGCCGGACUGAGAGGUUGAACGGCCACAUUGGGACUGAGACACGGCCCAG
rnacentral:rRNA from 1 species